CGUGAAUUAGAUUGUCAAGAGACAAAUUGUCUCAGUUCUGCGUUAUUGCUUUUGAGAAGGCAGCCAUCCUCUCAAAGCCCGCAAUGACAUCGCCUCACAACAGCAGCUUGGCUUCUAACAAGAGAAGGCGGCGGGUUCCUUGCUCCUGGCCUGAUCUGCGGACGCUGCUCUGCUUCCCAUGGAGUCCCGUGGGGUCGCUCGGCACCUCGUUCUCCCAGCAGUGAUGGGUGGACAACGUGUGCAGGUUCCUGUGCUAGCAUGUCUCAGGCCCAGCUCCACUGUAGCCGCUUCAGCCAAGCAGCUGAGAGACAGUGUCCGAUCUCCUUGGUUUGCAGGCUCCAGAAUAUGUGACUUUGCAGUGCUUCCAGGGUGUUCCGUGGGUCGUGCUUGCUAGUUUGCCCUCCGGUGAUGUGUGGAAACUUGUGCACGUUGUGGUGCCCGUCGCCCCAUCCCAGCUUCACUGUGACUGCUGAAACCCAAGGCUGCAGGAAUCCCUAUGUUCGACCCACGAGACCUUCACUCACAAAAUGUCUGCAGUUUUCAGUGCAUUUCUUACCACCACCGGCUUCCCUGUGGCUGACUAACGCAAAGUAUUCAGAAAGCAUGCCUGAUGUCCUUGGCUUUGAUGCACCAGACUCUUUUGGUUCAUUUAAUUGAAAUCACGAUUCCAUUAAGAUUAUUGAGAGAGCUCCCAAGAACCUGCUGUGUCCCUGUUGGAGCAGGCAAAUCUCUGGCUCCAGAAGGAUCUGUGGGUGUACAGAGCAUCCAGGCCAGUCCGACUGGUAAUGAUUACUGGUUUUGACCAUAGUAUGGGUGAAAACGUACGCACUUUUCAGUGAAUUUCUUCCCGUCAUCGUACGUCACUGCGGCUGAUUAACCCAAAGUAUUCUGAGCAUGCCCGGUCUCCUUGGAUUUAGCGCUCCAAACUCCUUUUCUUUCAUUUAAUUGGAAUCCUAAUUCCAUCAAUAUUGUUGAAAUCUCUCUCCUGAAACUGCUGUGAAGCCCUAAAUCAGCAAGCUGAUUCCUCAGUGUAGACUGAUCUGGGGGGCGUUCCUGUGUUUCUAGGUGAUUCUCAGUGGAAACGAAACCUGAUUUUGCCGGAGGUGAUGUGUGAAUAUGUAUCCACAUUUCAGUGCAUGUAUUCCCUAGUCAGAUAGUUCCGCCAUGUACACCAAAGCUCUCAGAAAUCAUGGCUCUUCUCUUAGUCUUUGCUAUAAGACAAUUACUAGUUUUACAUAUUUGGAAUCCUAUUCCAUCAAUAUUAUUGAAAUAUCUCUCCUGAAACUGAUGUAGUGCCCAGAGGUAGCAGGCUGAUUCCUUCCUCCCCCAAACUAGGGAUAUUCAAUACUUAUAUGGGAUUCCGUUUGGGUGGUACUUCUAGUUUUUUGAUGAGUGACAUAUGAAAAAUUGUGCACUUUUCAGUGCAUUUCUUCCCAUCACCGGUUUCACUGUGGCUAAUUGACCCAAAGUAUUCUGAAAGUAUGCCUGGUGUCCUUGGCUUUGGUGCCCCAAAGUCCUUUUGUUUCACAUAGUUGGAAACUUAAUUCCAUUAAGAUUGUUGAGAUAUCUCUCGUGAACCUGCUGGGGUCCCUAUUUCAGCAGGCUGAUUGCUGGCUCCAGAACGAUCUGUGGGCAUUCAGAGAAUCCAGGCCCCGAGCCUCUGGUAAUGAUUACAGGUUUUGACCAUAGUAUGUGUGAAAACGUGUGCAGUCUUCAGCGCAUUCAUUUCCAUCACCAGGUUGCCCGUGGCUGAUUAACCCAAAAUAUUCAGAAAGCAUGCCUGGUGUCCUGGGCUUCUGUGCUGCAGACUCCCUUAAUUUCAUUUCACUGGACUCCUAAUUCCAUCAAAAUUGUUGAAAUCUCUCUCCUGAAAAGCCUGUGGAGCCAUAAUUCACCAACCUAAUUGCUCAAUGGAGACUAUUCUGGGGGGCGUUCCCGUGUUUCUAGGUGAUUCCCAGUGGCAAUGAUUACUAGUUUUGCUGGCAGUGCCUUGUGGAUACGUGUCCUCGUUUCAGGGCAUCUCCUCCGAUGUCUGAUUGACUUUGGACACUUACACCAACGUUGUCAGAAUCCGUGCCCCUUCUCCGGGGCUUUGUUGUAGGGUAAUCCAUCAUUUUACAUGUGUGGUGUCCUAAUUCCAUCGAUAUUGUUGAAAUAUCUGUCCUAAACUGAUGGGAUGCCCAAUGGUAGCAGGCUGAUUCUUCCCUCCACCCUGAUCUGGAGAUGCUCAUUGUUUGUAAGGGCUUCCCUUUGGCUGGUACUUCUAAACCUCCCAGCAGUGACGUAUGAAAACUUGUGCUCUGUUCAGUGCAUUUGUUCCCAUCACCGGCUUCCCUGUGGCUGAUUACCCGCAAAGUAUUCAGAAAGCAUGCCUGAUGUCCUUGGCUUUCAUGCUCCAAACUGCUUGGUUUCAUGAUAUUGGAAGCCUAAUUGCAUUAAGAUUGUGGAGAGAUCUCUCCUGAACCCACUGUGGUCCCUAUUUCAGCAGCCUGAUUGCUGGCUCCAGGCAGAUGUGUGGGCUUUCAGAGCAAGGAGGCCGGUCCCACUGGUAACGAUUACUAGUUUUCCCCCCCAGUGUGUGUAAAACGUGUGCACUGUUAGGUGCAUUGCUUCCCAUCGCCAGCUCACUUGGCUCAUUACCCAGAGUUGUUCACGACACACACCUAAUCCCUGGUUUUGGUUUUCCAAACUCCUUUUGUUUCAUGUAAUUGGAGUCCUAAGUCCAUUCAUAUUGUUGAUGUAUCUCUCUUGAAUAUGCUAUGCUCCCUAUUUGAGCAGGCUCCUUUUUUUUGGGAAACAGAGCUGUGCGCAUGCCAAGAAAUGGAGGUGUCCUGUGGCUCAUGCGUUCUAAUUUCCGCAGCAGUGAUGCGUGGAUACUUGUGCAUUUUUCAGUGCACAUUACUUCUCUUCACCGGUUUCACUGAGGCCGAAUAACCAAAGUAUUCAGAAAGCAUGCCUGGUGUCCUUGGCUUUAGUGCUGCAAUCUGCUUUUGUUUCAUUUCGUUGGAAUCCUAAUUCUAUCAGUAUUGUUGAAAUCUCUCCCCCGGAACGCCUGUGGAGCCAUAUUUCAGCAAGCUGAUUGCUCAAGGGAGACUGAUCUGGGGGGCGUUCCCGUGUUUCUAGCCGAUUCCCAGUGGCAAUUAUUAUUACUUUGCUGGGAGUGCCUUGUGGAUACGUUUCCUCGUUUCAGGGCAUCUCUUCCGAUGUCUGCUUGACUUUGGACACUUGCACCAACGUUGUCAGAAUCUGUGCCCGUUUUCCAGGGCUUUGUUGUAGGGUAAUCCAUCAUUUUACAUUUGUGGAGUCCUAAUUCCAGCAAUAUUGUUGCAAUAUCUGUCCUGAAACCGACAGGAUGCCGAACCAUAGCAGGCUGAUUCUUCAUCCAGCCUGAUAUGGAGAUUUUCAGUGUAUGUAAGGGCUUCCUUUUGGCUGGUACUUCUAAGUCUCCCACCAGUGACGUUGAAAACUUGUGCUCUGUUCAGUGCAUUUGUUCCCAUCACCGGCUUCCCUGUGGCUGAUUACCCGCAAAGUAUUCAGAAAGCAUCCCUGGUGUCCUUUGCUUUAGUGCUGCAAUCUCCUUUUGUUUCAUUUCGUUGGAAUCCUAAUUCCAUAAGUGUUGUCGAAAUUUCUCUCCCGAAACAACUGUGGGGCCAUAUUUCAGCAAGCUGAUUGCUCAAGGGAGACUGACCUGGGUGGCCUCUCCAUGUUUCUGGGGGAUUCCCAGUGGCAAUGAUUACUCGUUUUGCUGACAGUGUCUUGUGAAUACGUGUCUCCUUUUCAGUUCAUCUCAUCCGAUUUAUGAUUGAAUUUGGACACUUACACCAACGUUGUCAGAAUCUGUGCCCCUUCUCCUGGGCGUUGCUGUAGGAUAAUUCCUCGUUUUACAUAUUUGAUGUCCUGAUUCCAUCUAUAUCGUUGAAAUAUCUGUCCGAAAUCUGUGGGGAUGCCCAGCCGUAGCUGGCUGAUUCCUCCCUCCUGCCUGAUCUGGAGAUAUUCAGGGUUUGUAUGGGCUUCCCUUUGGGUGGUACUUCUAGUUCUCCCAGCAGUGAUGUGUGAAGACUUGUGCACUUUUCAGUGCAUUUCUUCCCAUCGCCGGCUUCACCGUGGCUGCUUAACCAAAGUAUUGAGAAAGCAUGCCUGACGUCCUUGACGCUGAUGCUCCAAACUGCUUGUUUUUAUUUAAUUUAAACCUAAUUGCAUUAAGAUUGUUGAGAUAUCUCUCUUGUACCUGUUUAGGUCCCUAAUUCAGUAGUCUGAUUGCCGGCUCCAGACAGAUGUGUUCACGUUCACAGCAAUGAGGCCAAUCCCACUGGUAAAGAUUACUAGUUUCCCCCCCCAGUGUGUGUUAAAACGAGGGCACCGUUUAGUGCAUUUCUUCCCAUCACUGAGUUCACUUGGCUGAUGACCGGAAGUAAUUCACGAAGCACUCCUAGCCCGUGGAUUUGGUUUUCCAAAUUCCUUUUGUUUCAUUUCAUUGGACUUCCAAUUCCAUCAAUAUUCUUGAAAUCUGUCUCUUGAUACGCCUGUGGAGCCAUAUUUCAGCAAGCUGAUUUCUCAGUGCAGACUGAUCUGGGGGGCGGUCCUGUGUUUCUAGGUGAUUCCCAGUGGCAAUGAUUACUAGCUUUGUUGGCAGUGACUUGUGAAUAGGUGUCCACAUUUCAGUGCAUCUUAUCUGAUGUCUGAUUGACUGUGGAGACUUACACCAACGUUGUAUAAACCGUACCUCUUCUCCGGGGUGUUGCUGUAGGAUAAUUUUUUGUUUUAUAUAUUUGGAAUCCUAAUUACAUCAAUAUUGUUGAAAUGUCUAUUCUGAAACUGAUGUGGUGCCCAGACCUAGCAGGCUGGUUCGUUUCUCCAAUCUGAUCUGGACAUAUUCAUUGUUUCUAUGGGCUUCACCUAGGUGGUACUGCUAGUUCUCCUACCAGUAAUGUGUGAAGACGUGUGCACUUUUCAGUGCUUUUCGUACCAUCGCUGGCAUCACUGUGGCUGAUUAAGCCAACGUAUUCAGUGAGAAUGCGUGGUGUCUUUGGCUUCGAUGCUCCAAAGUCCUUGGUUUCAUGUAAUUUGAACCCUAACUGUAUUAAGAUUGUUGAGAUAUCUCUCGUGAAGCUGCUGUGGUCCCUAUUUCAACAGACUCAUUGCUGGCUCCAGACAGAGGUGUGGGCGUUCAGAGCAACCCGACCAGUCCCACUGGUAAUGAUUACUAGUUUUCCCCCCAGUGUGUAUAAAAAGGUUUGCAGUGUUCAUUACAUUUCCUCCCGUCCCUGGCUUCACUUGGCCCAUUACCCGAAGUUACUCAGGAAGCCAUGCUAGUCCCUGGAUUGGUUUUCCAAACUCCUUUUGUAUCAUGUAUUUGGAAUUAUAAUUCCUUUCUUCCCAUUGAUGUAUCUCGCCUGGAUCAGCUGUCUUCCGUAUUUCAGCACGCUUAUUUUUUUGUGGAAACGAUUCUGUGUGCUUUCAAAGUUCUAGAGAGGUCCGGUUGCUCUGGCGUACUAAUUACCCAGCAGUGAUGAAAGCAGACUUCUACACUUUGCGGUGGCUUUCACCCAUCGCAGCUCCCUGUGGACGUUGAAGCGAAGUCUGCAGGUAAGGCAGCUGUGCUCUCUGGAUUUGCUGAUCCAAAAUACUAUUCUUUAUAUAGUCGGAAUGCUAAUCCCAAUAAGGUUGAAGAAACACGUCUUCUGAGCUUGACGUUUUGCCCUCUGCCGCAAGCCGAGCCCCUCUUGCUGCCCUGACUGGCGGCGGUUUUGAUGCCAUUCCUCAGAGCUGAAUGUUGAAACCGAAUCAGGCAGUGUGUCCUAUCGAGAUCCGGAGAGCACAUGAUGAAGAGAAUCGUUUUCUCCACCUUCGGCACCUGAGGAGUCCUCUGAGUUCUUCUCAGUAACCCGUGUGGCUUCCUCUAUUCCCUCCGAGGUUGGUCGGGGUAGGAGGGCUCAAGAACUUCCGAUUUCUCCCAGCAGGGUGGCUUUGCUGGAUAAAGGGAACUUGCUUCGGGAAACACUGAUCCGCCUAGGAGUUCACUUCGAAAAACGCCAAACCAAACGUCUGUUCAGAACGUGGACUAGCGGAUGACGUUCCUGUUUCUCUUUUAAUUUUUCCUGACGGAACUCUCAAGUUAGUCACAUACACUGAAAUUGAGUCUACAGGUACAGGAUGCACAAAGUUAGGAUUUCUAAAGAAGUUCCUGGCUGUGCAAAUACUUUCAUAAGGUCACUGUUAUUGACGGCCAGUACUUAUUAGCUCACUCCCAGUUUCACAUCCUACCAACAAGCCUGGAGUCGAGUCAUAUGACAACUGCUAAGAGCACCUGAGUUCUGGGUGAGGCAUCACACUAAGACUUCUGUUUCGCAUCUCAUUUCCAGUAUGCUGCGUGGGGAAUGCAGGAGAGUGUGACCCUCUAGCAAGAAAGGAACCAAGGAUACUAAGGAAAUGACUUUGUUCAGGCCACGGGGAGAAUUGGUGGCAGAGGUUAGCUUGGAUGCUAGCAAAGCAGGAGCCCAAAGCUGUGCCCUGGAUCAGGGCGAGGAGGAGGUGUCAUGCCUGCUGGAGGUAACUGGUCCGUUGUCCUUCUGGGCAGGGAGACAUUUUCUCCAUGGCCCGUCUGAGGCCACAGCAAUGUGCAUCCACUACUGACGGCUUUGUGGUCGCUUCAGGCCCCGUCUCCUCUCGUCUCAGAAAGGUCGUCACAUCCGCCCCUAUUGCCUGUAGGGAGAGGCAUCGUGCGUGAAGGUCUCGUGGGUGGAACAUAGGCCCGGAAGCCUGCAUUCAGCCGGGUGUGGAGGGCAGCAGUUCCCCUACAUGAGCAUCUGGCCAGAGACAGCCAAGGGUGAGCCCUUGCUUGGUUUUGUUUUUGUUUUUGUUUUUGUUUUGGGGGGGGACUUACAGCCUGUACGAAUGUAUGAGUAUAUAUUUCUGUUAAUUCCAUGUUUCCUGUGAUGUUUUUUUUUUUUUAGACCAUGAAAAAUCGUUUAUGGGAUAAUCAGCUAAUCAGAAAUUAAAAGUUAUCCAUAAUAGUUCACCUGAAAGUAUAUAAAGUGUUAAUGAAGUUUUUCAAUGCUAUUGAAUUAAUCCUCAUAAACAGUCUCUUUGUGAAUUUUAUUCCAAUGGUGAUAUUUAUACAGUAAAGACAACC